GAGUUAUUUCCAAACCCAAAAUUCCCACUGUCCAUCGGCCCAAUCUGCCACAACCAACACUCCCCUCUGCGAUCACGAGAAAUUUCAAGCACAAAGGAAAUAUAGCCACAUUUAACUGGUAAAUCUAGCUCAAUUCUCUCUGCCUUCCUUUUUUCGGUUUUUCUUUAGUUGGUACAUGGCUGCGUCAUCCCCAGCUCUAGUUGCUAGCAACUACGACGCCGGUCACAGUACCACCACCACUGUGCCUUCGCAUCGAAUGGACGGGCCACCGAAGAUACUCGUUUGGUCUCAACAAACCCAAGUAUGUUCAGUGGCGCAACGUAAAUUGAUCCAGGGGGUCACUUAGAGUUGCAUUACUCGGACAGCUUUCUAACAAUUCUUUUCAAUUCAACCAGAAAGGAAGCUGCAGCUGUAAAAGAAUGGAGGUUUUGCAAGUAAAAAAGAAUAUAGGGAAGGAAACACUGAAGUGAAAAAUGAAGCUUUUGGUUUGUUACAUGCAGAAUAUUGACUUACUACUUGAGGAGGAUAUACGACAUGCUGGCAGACAGUGAAGCUUAGUCGAGUUUUACAAGAAGUGAGCAUCUUCAGACGAGCACACAACAAAUUGUUGAUGAGCGUUUAAAGAAGCUUCAGAAAUGUGAAUUUAUUAAUGGUGUUCAUAAUCUGCCAGGUGAUACUGAGCUAGAUAAUGGGUCAGAGAAGGAAAAGUUUAUAAAUGAUCUUGUUGAGAAAUUGAACGAGGGCCGAAAUGACCCACAUCUUUCCUGGAGAGGAAAGCCCAGCUGUAAAGUCAUCAUGGUGUUGAGUUAUCCAGUGAAGAAUGAAUUUGCAUAGAGAGAAGAAUUAGAUUUAGCUAAAAAUUGUUCAGAACGGUGGAAAUUGAUCAGGAAGCUCUCAGCUGCAAUGGUGCAAGUUUCUCUUCCCCAGGAAAGGUAGCAAAUUUCUGAUAUAUUCCCGGAUAUUCCAUGAGUUAAGAGUUUUUGCUUGAACGAAACCAAGCCUCAUUAAAUUCAUCCUUAGAUUCUAUCAAUCGAUUCUAGAGAAGUUCAAUUUCUUCAUGCUUAA